ensembl:lncRNA
CUGUCCAGAGGAAUAAGUGAUGUCAAAUGCUCUUUAGAAGUCCCAGUAGGACAAGGGAAAAGUGGUAAUUGUCUUAAACCACAAAAAUCCUUUUUACAACAUUUGGUAUUGUAGUCUCAGUAGGCUACUAUGAUGAGGCCUGUAAAUUCAGUAAAGUUCAUGCUUGAGAUGAACCUAUUAGUGAUUUUUCCCGUAAUAAUGCCCAGUGGCGAUAUGCAAGGACCGCAGCUUUUUUUUCAGAAUUUCAGAAAGGCUAAGAUGCACAUUCGGUCGAUAGUGCUGACACUCAUACAAAAAUAUGUUCUUUUUCAACAAACUUCACAGUGCACCAAUGAAUAUCAAGCCAAAGGGACAGAGUGUUAUAUGUUAAAGACGUUAGAGCAUGUUCCCAGUGUAGAGGUCAAAGGUGUUAUAUGUUGAGGACGUUACAGCAUGUUCCCAGUGUAGAGGUCAAAGGUGUUAUAUGUUGAGGACGUUACAGCAUGUUCCCAGUGUAGAGGUCAAAGGUGUUAUAUGUUCAGGACGUUACAGCAUGUAAGACAUUAGACAUUUAGCAGACGCUUUUAUCCAAAGCGACGUACAGGGGAGAGAACAAUCAAGCUACGAGCAAUAGAGACCUAGUGUAACAAUAAAUACUAUUUUACAUAAGAAAUAGAAAAAAGUGCAGGAAUGUAACUGCUGUAAGUGCAAGUUAGGUACUAGUAGAAGUGCAAGUUGGGAUUGGAGGUGCUCUUUGAAGAGUUGGGUCUUCAAGAGCUUCUUAAAGGUAGAGAGGGACGCCCCUGCUCUAGUAGUGCUAGGCAGCUUGUUCCACCAACGUGGAACUACGAAUAAGAAUAGUCUAGAUUGCCGUACUUGCACAGGCGGCAGUGCUAAACGACGCUCAUUAGACGAGCGCAGCAUCCUUGGGGUAACAUUUGCCCCUACAAGAGCAUUUAACAUUUAAAAUGUUAUGCCUUAGAAAUGGGGUCUGAAUUUGGCUUUUUACCAAGACUUUUAAAAAAAACUUGAGAAAAUGGUUCUCCGAUUCUAUAUACUAUGAUUCUAUACUAUAAUGGCUUUUAACAGUGAUUUUGGAAUAGGACUUAGAACACAGGUUGUUUGUGAGUUCAUUUGUCAUUGUAUUUUAAAAGGUGCACCUGCCCAUAUUGACUAGGUAACUUAUUUUGGCACCGAACCUCUACCUUACUCCGUUUACCCCACCUGUCACCUUGACACCGCCUCAAGCACCAGUUAGCCCUGCUUGUUCCA